GACGAACCGUGCGAACGUUGUUCGGAAUCACUGGGCAUAAAGGGCGCGUAGGCGGCUUAUCAAGUCAGGGGUGAAAUCCGGCAGCUCAACUGUCGAAGUGCCUUUGAUACUGAUGAGCUCGAGGGAGGUAGGGGUCUGUGGAACUUCCGGUGGAGCGGUGAAAUGCGUUGAUAUCGGAAGGAACGCCGGUGGCGAAAGCGACGGACUGGACCUCUUCUGACGCUGAGGCGCGAAAGCUAGGGGAGCAGACGGG
rnacentral:rRNA from 1 species